rnacentral:tRNA from 1 species
AAUGUCUUAGGUUAAACUAAACCAGUAGCCUUCAAAGCUCCUAAUGAACUCCUUAUGUUUAGACAUUA